UACGUAGGGGGCGAGCGUUGUCCGGAAUUAUUGGGCGUAAAGAGCGUGUAGGCGGUUCGGUAAGUCUGCCGUGAAAACCUGGGGCUCAACCCUGGGCGUGCGGUGGAUACUGCCGGGCUAGAGGGUGGUAGAGGCGAGUGGAAUUCCGGUGUAGCGGUGAAAUGCGCAGAUAUCAGGAAGAACACCCGUGGCGAAGGCGGCUCUCUGGGACGGUACUGACGCUGAGACGCGAAAGCGUGGGGAGCGAACAGG
rnacentral:rRNA from 1 species